rfam:Halomonas sp. JB380 genome assembly, contig: Scaffold13
CUUAGGUCCUCCCGCAACGCUAUACUGCAAACCCCGCCAGGCCCGGAAGGGAGCAACGGUAGUGGUGGCUGCGUGUGCCGGGAUGUGGCUUUUGGGG